rnacentral:miRNA from 1 species
GUGAUACUCAAAAUGGGGGUGCUUGCCGUUUUAUACGACUGGAAAGUGCUCCCAUUUCGAGCGUCCC